rnacentral:rRNA from 1 species
GAGUUUGAUCAUGGCUCAGAACGUACGCUGGCGGCACGCCUAACACAUGCAAGUCGAACGAGGUAGCAAUACUUAGUGGCGAACGGGUGAGUAUAAUGUGGGUAUCUACCCUUUGGUUUGGAAUAACACGAGGAAACUUGUGCUAAUACCGGAUAAGCCCUUACGGGGAAAGCUUUAUGCGCCAAUGGAUGAGCCCUCAUUUGAUUAGCUUGUUGGUAAGGUAAAAGCUUACCAAGGCAACGAUCAAUAGCUGAUCUGAGAGGAUGAUCAGCCACAUUGGGACUGAGACACGGCCCAAACUCCUACGGGAGGCAGCAGUGGGGAAUCUUGCACAAUGGGGGAAACCCUGAUGCAGCGAUGCCGCGUGAGUGAAGAAGGCCUUUGGGUUGUAAAGCUCUUUCGUCGGGGAAGAAAAUGACUGUACCCGAAUAAGAAGGUCCGGCUAACUUCGUGCCAGCAGCCGCGGUAAUACGAAGGGACCUAGCGUAGUUCGGAAUUACUGGGCUUAAAGAGCUCGUAGGUGGUUAGAAAAGUUGGUGGUGAAAUCCCAAGGCUUAACCUUGGAACUGCCAUCAAAACUUUUUGACUAGAGUAUGAUAGAGGAAAGUGGAAUUUCUAGUGUAGAGGUGAAAUUCGUAGAUAUUAGAAAGAACACCAAUUGCGAAGGCAGCUUUCUGGAUCAUUACUGACACUGAGGUGCGAAAGCAUGGGUAGCGAAGAGGAUUAGAUACCCUCGUAGUCCAUGCUGUAAACGAUGUGUGCUAGACGUUGGAAAUUUAAUUUUCAGUGUCGCAGCAAAAGCGAUAAGCACACCGCCUGGGGAGUACGACCGCAAGGUUAAAACUCAAAUGAAUUGACGGGGACCCGCACAAGUAGUGGAGCAUGUGGUUUAAUUCGAAGAUACGCGCAGAACCUUACCAACACUUGACAUGUUCGUCGCGACUCUAAGAGAUUAGAGUUUUCGGUUCGGCCGGACGAAACACAGGUGCUGCAUGGCUGUCGUCAGCUCGUGUCGUGAGAUGUUGGGUUAAGUCCCGCAACGAGCGCAACCCUCACUUUUAGUUGCUACCAUUUAGUUGGGCACUCUAAAAGAACUGCCAGUGAUAAGCUGGAGGAAGGUGGGGAUGACGUCAAGUCCUCAUGGCCCUUACGUGUUGGGCUACACACGUGCUACAAUGGUAUUUACAGUGGGAUGCUAAGAGGCAACUCCAAGCAAACCCCCAAAAGAUACCUCAGUUCGGAUUGCACUCUGCAACUCGAGUGCAUGAAGCUGGAAUUACUAGUAAUCGUGGAUCAGCGCGCCACGGUGAAUACGUUCCCGGGUCUUGUACACACCGCCCGUCACACCAUGGAAGUUGGUUACACCUUAAGGCAAAAUGUUAACCUUCGGGAAACAUUUGACUACGGUACGAUCAGCGACUGGGGUGAAGUCGUAACAAGGUAGCC